rnacentral:rRNA from 1 species
AGCAGCCGCGGUAAUUCCAGCUCCAAUAGCGUAUAUUAAAGUUGUUGCAGUUAAAAAGCUCGUAGUUGAAUUUCGGGGUUAGUAGGUUGGUCAUGCCUCUGGUAUGUACUGGUCUCACUGAUUCCUCCUUCCUGAUGAGCCGUAAUGCCAUUAAUUUGGUGUUGCGGGGAAUUUGGACUGUUACUUUGAAAAAUUAGAGUGUUUAAAGCAAGCUAACGCUUGAAUACAUUAGCAUGGAAUAAUGAAAUAGGACGUUCGAUCCUAUUUUGUUGGUUUCUAGGAUCGACGUAAUGAUUAAUAGGGAUAGUUGGGGGCAUUAGUAUUCAAUUGUCAGAGGUGAAAUUCUUGGAUUUAUUGAAGACUAACUACUGCGAAAGCAUUUGCCAAGGAUGUUUUCAUUAAUCAAGAACGAAAGUUAGGGGAUCGAAGACGAUCAGAUACCGUCGUAGUCUUAACCAUAAACUAAUGCCGACUAGGGAUCGGAUGAUGUUAAUUUUAAUGUACU